GACGAACGCUGGCGGCGUGCCCAAUACAUGCAAGUAGAACGCUGAAGGAGGAGCUUGCUUCUCCGGAUGAGUUGCGAACGGGUGAGUAACGCGUAGGUAACCUGCCUGGUAGCGGGGGAUAACUAUUGGAAACGAUAGCUAAUACCGCAUAACAGUAGAUGUUGCAUGACAUUUGCUUAAAAGGUGCAAUUGCAUCACUACCAGAUGGACCUGCGUUGUAUUAGCUAGUUGGUGAGGUAACGGCUCACCAAGGCGACGAUACAUAGCCGACCUGAGAGGGUGAUCGGCCACACUGGGACUGAGACACGGCCCAGACUCCUACGGGAGGCAGCAGUAGGGAAUCUUCGGCAAUGGACGGAAGUCUGACCGAGCAACGCCGCGUGAGUGAAGAAGGUUUUCGGAUCGUAAAGCUCUGUUGUAAGAGAAGAACGAGUGUGAGAGUGGAAAGUUCACACUGUGACGGUAUCUUACCAGAAAGGGACGGCUAACUACGUG
rnacentral:rRNA from 1 species